rnacentral:rRNA from 1 species
AACGAACGCUGGCGGCAGGCUUAACACAUGCAAGUCGAGCGCGUAGCAAUACGAGCGGCAGACGGGUGAGUAACGCGUGGGAACGUACCCUUUACUACGGAAUAGCUCCGGGAAACUGGAAUUAAUACCGUAUGUGCCCUUUGGGGGAAAGAUUUAUCGGUAAAGGAUCGGCCCGCGUUGGAUUAGCUAGUUGGUGGGGUAAUGGCCUACCAAGGCGACGAUCCAUAGCUGGUCUGAGAGGAUGAUCAGCCACAUUGGGACUGAGACACGGCCCAAACUCCUACGGGAGGCAGCAGUGGGGAAUAUUGGACAAUGGGCGCAAGCUUGAUCCAGCCAUGCCGCGUGAGUGAUGAAGGCCUUAGGGUUGUGAAGCUCUUUCACCGGAGAAGAUAAUGACGGUAUCCGGAGAAGAAGCCCCGGCUAACUUCGUGCCAGCCGCCGCGGUAACAC